GCCUGGGUGGCUUAGUCGGUUAAGUGUCCGACUUCAGGUCAGGUCAUGAUCUCAUGGCCCAUGGGUUCAAGCCCCGUGUCAGGCU
rnacentral:tRNA from 1 species